rnacentral:lncRNA from 10 species
GGCUCCACCCCCACGGACCUAGGUGAGGACAGGCACUCCUGCUUUCGCUCCCAAAUGUUGCAUUUUCCAAGACCACCCUGUCCCGUCAUGCCCUCAUCCUGGGCCUAUAAAAACCAGAGACCCUAGCGGGCACACAGGCAGCCAGAUAUUGAGAGGAACACUUUGGCGGAAGAAGACACGAGUGGCUGGUCGAGAGCACGCUGGAGGAAGAGCCCACCGACAGACGUCAGCAUGCUGGCACACCAUCAACAGGCCUGGCAGAUAUUCGUAAACCACAAUCCUUGCAUCAGGAAUCCUACAGGCUAGUGUGAAGUGAGACAGAUAAACAGAUAAUGUUAUUUGUUUGGCAGUAACACCUAACCACAACGGGCACAUCGGAGUUGAACUUGGUGCUUCUGAGAAGCUAAUUUUAAGUUCCUGUGCAUGGUCUGAACAUUUGCCGGGCCCUAAAACUGCAUCUCAAUAUUGGCAGCCCCUUCCAAGUCUCCGGAAGGUAUUUUGAUUCAAAGGAAGCUCUGUUUGGACCGGAUGGUCUGGUGCUGGCCAUUUUCAUUGCACAGUGAGGCAUAAACUGUGCUAAGAGACUCGGGACAGACUGAGCAGUGAUGAGAGCACCAGCAGGGCCAGAGCACUGCAGACCCCCUUCAAGAUGAAAGCAAGAGAAUUUGAAAAGUCUAGAAAGAAGCUAUUUUGCAUUUAUCAGUUUGCAGAGCUCUCUGAACAUUCAGCUCAUUUCGUCCUCCUGCCACCUGGCCCUGGGAGCUGCAGCUGCAUCUAUGAUGCCCAUCUAGACUCCACCAGGCUGCAGCGCCACCUGUCUGCAGAACAGAGCUGCAGAGAUGACUACCACUGAUAAGAAUGCAUCUGUGACCACCUAGGGAUGCCCAUUCUGUCCCAGACACUGCGCUAGCACUUGAUGCACACAUGACCUCAUUUUCUUCACAACUACCAUAUAAGGUAGGUACUUUCCUCCCUUAUAUUUCAGAAAACUGAGACUGGAAGAGGUGAAGUGACUUGACUGGGACCACAGAUUCCUAAGUGGCAGGAUGAAAUUCCAACCGAGUUCUGCUUGACUCCAAAGUCUGUGUUCUUUCUACUUCCCCACCCUGCUGCCCAGGAUCUAAAAGGUUCCUCUGCCCAUAUUCACCUGGGAGUACCUGCUCAUCUUCUGAGGUUCAGCUUAUCUGUAAUCCCAUUCCUGAACCCCCUCUUCUUCCCCACUGGUAGAACUGGCCUCUUCCUUCAUUGUGUCUCCACUAGAGCUUACAAAGUUUAUACUUUUAGUAUCUGUAGCACCAAUUAAACUUUUCUGUUUAAUUGUCUGUCUUUUGGAUGAAACCUUGAACUCCUCAAGAGGAGGGACUGAUUACCAGUCUCUGCGGCUUUGAACUGGGCUGAUGCAGA